GUCUGGCGUAAAUAUCGAAUUCUGUAGACCAAAAACCAUUCAUUAUGUACAAGAAAACGUCAAUGGUGGUUACAUAGACAUUUGGCACCCGCCUUGGCUAAAAGUCAUGCUUUUCGCCGGAUUUUGGUCCGAACGACCAAAUUUUGCAUCAGAUUUGACAUGUUUUAGACGAUGAAAACCACCUCCAAUAUCAUAAAGUCAGCUUGAGUUUGCUUUGCGGGACAAGUGGAAUAACAUUCCUCGGGAUCACAUUAAACAUCCGGGAUGAUCAAUUAUACGGCGCUGU
rnacentral:lncRNA from 1 species